rnacentral:tRNA from 1 species
AGGUUUAUAACUCAACGGUUAAGAGUGUCAUUUUAACAAGAUGAAAGUAAUUGGUUCAACUCCAAUUAGACCUA